GCAGCACUAAGCAGUCGGAUUCCGCUGCCUGGUCACUCAACAGGCACAGCCGCGAACCCUGCCGACCAGCGAGACACCCCUGCGCUCCUGCAGCCUUCAGAGGAAGAUCAAGCAAAAGCGAGUGAUCACACACAGGGAGCGCACACACCACGUUGGACUCAUUCCUUCCAUGCCAGGGGCAGUGCAAGUCGGAGGUUGGUUAAGCCUAGACUGCACAGGGACUCUCUUGGUGCCUGGGCUGCACGUGGUGGGGCAGACUCCUGCCAAUCUUGCCAUCUAAG